AUUGAACGCUGGCGGCGGGCUUUAUACAUGCAAGUCGGACGAGUGGCGAACGGGUGAGUAACGCAUCGGAACGUGCCGAGUAAUGGGGGAUAAGUGUCAGAACGGACAGCUAAUACCGCAUAUUCUUCGUGCGGCCGAUGUCUGAUUAGCUGGUUGGUGGGGUAAAGGCCCACCAAGGCGACGAUCAGUAGCGGGUCUGAGAGGAUGAUCCGCCACACUGGGACUGAGACACGGCCCAGACUCCUACGGGAGGCAGCAGUGGGGAAUUUUGGACAAUGGGCGCAAGCCUGAUCCAGCCAUGCCGCGUGUCUGAAGAAGGCCUUCGGGUUGUAAAGGACUUUUGUCAGGGAAGCGGUACCUGAAGAAUAAGCACCGGCUAACUACGUGCCAGCAGCCGCGGUAAUUC
rnacentral:rRNA from 1 species